rnacentral:rRNA from 1 species
AACGAACGCUGGCGGCAUGCCUAACACAUGCAAGUCGAACGAGACCUUCGGGUCUCUUGGCGCUCGGGUGCGUAAUGCGUGGGGACCUGCCCUUAUGUUCGGAAUCACUCCCCGAAAGGGGUUCUCUUAUGGAAUCAUGUCUUCGGACCAAAUAUUUAUCGCCUUUGGAUGGGCCCGCGUUGGAUUCGCUCUUUGGUAGGGUAAAAGCCUACCAAGGUGACGAUCAAUAGCUGUUCUGGGAGGAUGAUCAGCCACACUGGGACUGAGCCACGGUCGAGACUCCUACGGGAGGGAGCAGUGGGGAAUAUUGGACAAUGGGCGAAAGCCUGAUAGAGCAAGGCAGCGUGAGUGAUGAAGGUAGUAGGGUUGUAAAGCGCUAUUAACCGGGAAGAUAAUGACAGUACCGGGUGAAUAAGCUCCGGCUAACUCCGUG